rnacentral:tRNA from 1 species
GGAGGCGUAGCUGAGUGGUUUAGCAGCGGCCCUUUAAGCCGCCGACGUAGGUUCGAUUCCUACCGCCUUCA